rnacentral:rRNA from 1 species
CCUACGGGUGGCAGCAGUGAGGAAUAUUGGUCAAUGGACGCAAGUCUGAACCAGCCAAGUAGCGUGCAGGAUGACGGCCCUCCGGGUUGUAAACUGCUUUUAGUUGGGAAUAAAAGGGGGCUCGUGAGCCCCGGAUUGUAUGUACCAUCAGAAAAAGGACCGGCUAAUUCCGUGCAAGCAGCCGCGGUAAUACGGAAGGUCCGGGCGUUAUUCGGAUUUAUUGGGUUUAAAGGGUGCGCAGGCGGAAGAUCAAGUCAGCGGUAAAAUUGAGGGGCUCAACCUCUUCGAGCCGUUGAAACUGGUGUUCUUGAGUGAGUGAGAAGUAUGCGGAAUGCGUGGUGUAGCGGUGAAAUGCAUAGAUAUAACGAAGAACUCCGAUGGCGAAGGCAGCAUACCGGCGCUCAACUGACGCUCAUGCACGAAAGUGUGGGUAUCGAACAGGAUUAGAUACCCGUGUAGUC